rnacentral:rRNA from 1 species
GACGGAGGAUGCGCGUGUUAUCCGGAAUCACUGGGCGUAAAGCGUCUGUAGGUGGUUUAAAAAGUCUGCUGUUAAAGGUUGAAGCUUAACUUCAAAAAUGCAGUAGAAACUUUUAAACUUGAGUAUGGUAGGGGCAUGCGGAACUGAUGGUGGAGCGGUGAAAUGUGUUGAUAUCAUCAGGAACUCCGGUGGCGAAGGCGGCAUGCUGGACCUUCACUGACGCUGAGGCGCGAAAGCUAGGGGAGCGAACGGG